rnacentral:rRNA from 1 species
UUAAGCGACUAAGCGUACACGGUGGAUGCCCUGGCAGUCAGAGGCGAUGAAGGACGUGCUAAUCUGCGAUAAGCGUCGGUAAGGUGAUAUGAACCGUUAUAACCGGCGAUUUCCGAAUGGGGAAACCCAGUGUGAUUCGUCACACUAUCAUUAACUGAAUCCAUAGGUUAAUGAGGCGAACCGGGGGAACUGAAACAUCUAAGUACCCCGAGGAAAAGAAAUCAACCGAGAUUCCCCCAGUAGCGGCGAGCGAACGGGGAGGAGCCCAGAGCCUGAAUCAGUGUGUGUGUUAGUGGAAGCGUCUGGAAAGGCGCGCGAUACAGGGUGACAGCCCCGUACACAAAAAUGCACAUAUUGUGAGCUCGAUGAGUAGGGCGGGACACGUGGUAUCCUGUCUGAAUAUGGGGGGACCAUCCUCCAAGGCUAAAUACUCCUGACUGACCGAUAGUGAACCAGUACCGUGAGGGAAAGGCGAAAAGAACCCCGGCGAGGGGAGUGAAAAAGAACCUGAAACCGUGUACGUACAAGCAGUGGGAGCCUCUUUUAUGGGGUGACUGCGUACCUUUUGUAUAAUGGGUCAGCGACUUAUAUUCUGUAGCAAGGUUAACCGAAUAGGGGAGCCGAAGGGAAACCGAGUCUUAACUGGGCGUUAAGUUGCAGGGUAUAGACCCGAAACCCGGUGAUCUAGCCAUGGGCAGGUUGAAGGUUGGGUAACACUAACUGGAGGACCGAACCGACUAAUGUUGAAAAAUUAGCGGAUGACUUGUGGCUGGGGGUGAAAGGCCAAUCAAACCGGGAGAUAGCUGGUUCUCCCCGAAAGCUAUUUAGGUAGCGCCUCGUGAAUUCAUCUCCGGGGGUAGAGCACUGUUUCGGCAAGGGGGUCAUCCCGACUUACCAACCCGAUGCAAACUGCGAAUACCGGAGAAUGUUAUCACGGGAGACACACGGCGGGUGCUAACGUCCGUCGUGAAGAGGGAAACAACCCAGACCGCCAGCUAAGGUCCCAAAGUCAUGGUUAAGUGGGAAACGAUGUGGGAAGGCCCAGACAGCCAGGAUGUUGGCUUAGAAGCAGCCAUCAUUUAAAGAAAGCGUAAUAGCUCACUGGUCGAGUCGGCCUGCGCGGAAGAUGUAACGGGGCUAAACCAUGCACCGAAGCUGCGGCAGCGACGCUUAUGCGUUGUUGGGUAGGGGAGCGUUCUGUAAGCCUGUGAAGGUGUGCUGUGAGGCAUGCUGGAGGUAUCAGAAGUGCGAAUGCUGACAUAAGUAACGAUAAAGCGGGUGAAAAGCCCGCUCGCCGGAAGACCAAGGGUUCCUGUCCAACGUUAAUCGGGGCAGGGUGAGUCGACCCCUAAGGCGAGGCCGAAAGGCGUAGUCGAUGGGAAACAGGUUAAUAUUCCUGUACUUGGUGUUACUGCGAAGGGGGGACGGAGAAGGCUAUGUUGGCCGGGCGACGGUUGUCCCGGUUUAAGCGUGUAGGCUGGUUUUCCAGGCAAAUCCGGAAAAUCAAGGCUGAGGUGUGAUGACGAGGCACUACGGUGCUGAAGCAACAAAUGCCCUGCUUCCAGGAAAAGCCUCUAAGCAUCAGGUAACAUCAAAUCGUACCCCAAACCGACACAGGUGGUCAGGUAGAGAAUACCAAGGCGCUUGAGAGAACUCGGGUGAAGGAACUAGGCAAAAUGGUGCCGUAACUUCGGGAGAAGGCACGCUGAUAUGUAGGUGAAGUCCCUUGCGGAUGGAGCUGAAAUCAGUCGAAGAUACCAGCUGGCUGCAACUGUUUAUUAAAAACACAGCACUGUGCAAACACGAAAGUGGACGUAUACGGUGUGACGCCUGCCCGGUGCCGGAAGGUUAAUUGAUGGGGUCAGCGCAAGCGAAGCUCUUGAUCGAAGCCCCGGUAAACGGCGGCCGUAACUAUAACGGUCCUAAGGUAGCGAAAUUCCUUGUCGGGUAAGUUCCGACCUGCACGAAUGGCGUAAUGAUGGCCAGGCUGUCUCCACCCGAGACUCAGUGAAAUUGAACUCGCUGUGAAGAUGCAGUGUACCCGCGGCAAGACGGAAAGACCCCGUGAACCUUUACUAUAGCUUGACACUGAACAUUGAGCCUUGAUGUGUAGGAUAGGUGGGAGGCUUUGAAGUGUGGACGCCAGUCUGCAUGGAGCCGACCUUGAAAUACCACCCUUUAAUGUUUGAUGUUCUAACGUUGGCCCCUAAUCGGGGUUGCGGACAGUGUCUGGUGGGUAGUUUGACUGGGGCGGUCUCCUCCUAAAGAGUAACGGAGGAGCACGAAGGUUGGCUAAUCCUGGUCGGACAUCAGGAGGUUAGUGCAAUGGCAUAAGCCAGCUUGACUGCGAGCGUGACGGCGCGAGCAGGUGCGAAAGCAGGUCAUAGUGAUCCGGUGGUUCUGAAUGGAAGGGCCAUCGCUCAACGGAUAAAAGGUACUCCGGGGAUAACAGGCUGAUACCGCCCAAGAGUUCAUAUCGACGGCGGUGUUUGGCACCUCGAUGUCGGCUCAUCACAUCCUGGGGCUGAAGUAGGUCCCAAGGGUAUGGCUGUUCGCCAUUUAAAGUGGUACGCGAGCUGGGUUUAGAACGUCGUGAGACAGUUCGGUCCCUAUCUGCCGUGGGCGCUGGAGAACUGAGGGGGGCUGCUCCUAGUACGAGAGGACCGGAGUGGACGCAUCACUGGUGUUCGGGUUGUCAUGCCAAUGGCACUGCCCGGUAGCUAAAUGCGGAAGAGAUAAGUGCUGAAAGCAUCUAAGCACGAAACUUGCCCCGAGAUGAGUUCUCCCUGACCCUUUAAGGGUCCUGAAGGAACGUUGAAGACGACGACGUUGAUAGGCCGGGUGUGUAAGCGCAGCGAUGCGUUGAGCUAACCGGUACUAAUGAACCGUGAGGCUUAACCUU